GACGUAGGGCGCGAGCGUUGUCCGGAUUUAUUGGGCGUAAAGAGCUCGUAGGCGGCUUGUCGCGUCGUCUGUGAAAACCCGCGGCUCAACGGCGGGCUUGCAGUCGAUACGGGCAGGCUGGAGUUCGGUAGGGGAGAAUGGAAUUCCUGGUGUAGCGGCGAAAUGCGCAGAUAUCAGGAGGAACACCGGUGGCGAAGGCGGUUCUCUGGGCAUUACCUGACGCUGAGGAGCGAAAGUGUGGGGAGCGAACAGG
rnacentral:rRNA from 1 species